rnacentral:rRNA from 1 species
GACGAACGCUGGCGGCGUGCUUAACACAUGCGAGUCGAACGGAAAGGCCCUGCUUUUGUGGGGUGCUCGAGUGGCGAACGGGUGAGUAACACGUGAGUAACCUGCCCUUGACUUUGGGAUAACUUCAGGAAACUGGGGCUAAUACCGGCUAGGAGCUCCUGCUGCAUGGUGGGGGUUGGAAAGUUUCGGCGGUUGGGGAAGGACUCGCGGCUUAUCAGCUUGUUGGUGGGGUAGUGGCUUACCAAGGCUUUGACGGGUAGCCGGCCUGAGAGGGUGACCGGCCACAUUGGGACUGAGAUACGGCGCAGACUCCUACGGGAGGCAGCAGUGGGGAAUAUUGCACAAUGGGCGGAAGCCUGAUGCAGCAACGCCGCGUGCGGGAUGACGGCCUUCGGGUUGUAAACCGCUUUCGCCUGUGACGAAGCGUGAGUGACGGUAAUGGGUAAAGAAGCACCGGCUAACUACGUG